rnacentral:sRNA from 1 species
UGCAUCCCAGGCAGCUCUUAGUGUGGAGCAGUGAACUGUGUGUGAUUCCUUCUACUUGGGGAUCAUGCAGAGAGCUUCACGUCUGAAGAGAGAGCUGCACAUGUUAGCCACAGAGCCACCCCCAGGCAUCACAUGUUGGCAAGAUAAAGACCAAAUGGAUGAUCUGCGAGCUCGUACCCGUUUGAACCUCCUCAGAUCCGAUUUCUCACUCCAAUUUAUCAUCCAAACAUUGAUUCUGCUGGAAGGAUUUGUCUGGAUGUUCUCAAAUUGCCACCAAAAGGUGCUUGGAGACCAUCCCUCAACAUCGCAACUGUGUUGACCUCUAUUCAGCUGCUCAUGUCAGAACCCAACCCUGAUGACCCGCUCAUGGCUGACAUAGUAAAUAUCCCCAUUUUCCUCUGCAAUACACAUCCUACCUCGUCUAUAACCGCUAACUCUCCCUGUGUGAGGAUAGCUGCAGCAGCUCUAACCACUGAAAAUCAUGUUUUUCUCCAUUAAUUCUUUUCUUUGAUUUCAUCUCAGUCCUCAGAAUUUAAAUAUAAUAAGCCAGCCUUCCUCAAGAAUGCCAGACAGUGGACAGAGAAGCACGCAAGACAGAAACAAAAG